rnacentral:rRNA from 1 species
UAAAAAUAUAAUUAUUUAAUUGAUUAUUUAUUUAUUUAAUGAAAUUAAAAUAUUAUUAAUUUUGGAAGUUUUAGUAUAUUUCAAAAAAAAUUUAAUUAUUUAUAGUUUAUUAUUAUUGUAAAAUAAAUUUUUAUUUUGUAUAAAAUAAAAAUUUAUUUUUUGUAUUUUGUGUAUCAAAGUUUAUUAAAUAAAUUUAUUAUUUAAUUAAUAUUCUUGAAAUAAAUUGAGUUAAUUUUAUUUUAAAAUUAUUGUUUAAUAAAUAUUUUUAAAAUAUUUUUGGAAAUGAAAAAUUAUUCGUAUUUUAUUAUAUCUAGUUUUUUAAUAAAUAAAUUGAAAUUAUAUAUUUAUUUAUAAAUAAUUUAAUUAUUUGAAUUAUUUAAAUAUAAUAUAUUAUAUUUAAGGGGAUAAGCUUUUAAAUAAAUUUUUAUAUAAAAAUUUAUUAUUUAAAUGUAAUAUAAAUUAAAUUUUUAUUUUAAUUUAGUUUUUAAUAAAUUAUUUUAGUUUUAUUUUAAUUUUUAUUAUUAUUAAAUUAAUUUAUUAAAAAAAUUAAAAUAAUUUAAUUUUUAAUGUUAUAAUGAUAAAAUUAGUAUAAAUUUAAUUAAUUAAUAAUUGAUAUGUUUAAAAAUUAUAAUUAUGAAUUAGACAAAAUUAAUUAAAUUAUUUUCAAAUGUUUAAUAAAAACAUUUUUUAUUGUUUUUUAUAAUAAAUAUAAUCUGCCCACUGAUAAUUUAUUGAAGGGCUGCAGUAUUUUGACUGUACAAAGGUAGCAUAAUUAAUAGUUUUUUAAUUGAAAACUGGAAUGAAUGAUUGAAUGAAAAAUUUUUUUUAUUAUUAUUAUUAUUUAUAAUUUUAUUUUUUAGUAAAAAAGCUAAAUUGAAAAUAUUAGACAAGAAGACCCUAUAAAUCUUAAAUAAAUUUUUUUAUAAUUAAUUAAUAUAAAUUUAUUGGGUUGGGGUGAUUUAAAAAUUUAAUAAACUUUUUAUUUAUUAAAACAUUGAUUUAUGAUAAUAAGAUUUAAUUUUGUUAAUUAUUAGAAUAAGUUACUUUAGGGAUAACAGCAUAAUUUUAAUUUAGAGUUCUUAUUUAAAUUAAAGAUUGUGACCUCGAUGUUGGAUUAAAAUUAAUUUAAAUGCAAAAGUUUAAAUGUUUAGUCUGUUCGACUAUUAAAAUUUUACAUGAUCUGAGUUUAAACCGGUGUGAGCCAGGUUGGUUUCUAUCUAUAUUUAUUAAGGUAAAAUUAGUACGAAAGGAUUGUUUUGAAUUAAUUAUUUAAUUUAAUUUGAAUAAAAUUA